rnacentral:rRNA from 1 species
UACGUAGGGGGCAAGCGUUGUCCGGAAUUAUUGGGCGUAAAGAGCUCGUAGGCGGUUCGUCGCGUCGGCUGUGAAAUCCCGAGGCUCAACCCCGGGCCUGCAGUGGGUACGGGCAGACUAGAGUGCGGUAGGGGAGACUGGAAUUCCUGGUGUAGCGGUGAAAUGCGCAGAUAUCAGGAGGAACACCGGUGGCGAAGGCGGGUCUCUGGGCCGUAACUGACGCUGAGGAGCGAAAGCGUGGGGAGCGAACAGG